UACGUAGGGGGCUAGCGUUGUCCGGAAUCAUUGGGCGUAAAGAGCGUGUAGGCGGUCCGGUAAGUCCGCUGUGAAAGUCGGGGGCUCAACCCUCGAAUGCCGGUGGAUACUGUCGGGCUAGAGUGCGGAAGAGGCGAGUGGAAUUCCUGGUGUAGCGGUGAAAUGCGUAGAUAUCAGGAGGAACACCUGUGGUGUAGACAGCUUACUGGACCAUUUCUGACGCUGAGACACGAAAGCGUGGGUAGCAAACAGG
rnacentral:rRNA from 1 species